GACGAACGCUGGCGGCGUGCUUAACACAUGCAAGUCGAACGGAAAGGCCCUGCUUUUGUGGGGUGCUCGAGUGGCGAACGGGUGAGUAACACGUGAGUAACCUGCCCUUGACUUUGGGAUAACUUCAGGAAACUGGGGCUAAUACCGGAUAGGAGCUCCUGCUGCAUGGUGGGGGUUGGAAAGUUUCGGCGGUUGGGGAUGGACUCGCGGCUUAUCAGCUUGUUGGUGGGGUAGUGGCUUACCAAGGCUUUGACGGGUAGCCGGCCUGAGAGGGUGACCGGCCACAGUGGGACUGAGAUACGGCCCAGACGCCUACGGGAGGCAGCAGUGGGGAAUAUUGCACAAUGGGCGGAAGCCGGAUGCAGCAACGCCGCGUGCGGGAGGACGGCCUUCGGGUUGUAAACCGCUUUCGCCUGUGACGAAGCGUGAGUGACGGUAAUGGAUAAAGAAGCACCGGCUAACUACGG
rnacentral:rRNA from 1 species